rnacentral:tRNA from 7 species
CGGGCUGUGGCGCAGCUUGGUAGCGCGCGUCGUUCGGGACGACGAGGUCGCAGGUUCAAAUCCUGUCAGCCCGA